GCAUGGCCGAAUUCUGUGUUACUCGUGUCCGUAGUAACCUCAGUCAGACACCAUGCGACAUCACCCCUCACUCUCUCUGUACACACAGCGGGGCAGUGUCCUUCGCGCUCCCUCGCACCACGACAGAGUGAACACAU